UUGAGCCAAAAAUCUAACGAGGAGCAUUUUUGAGCUAUUUCAGAUAGUUCAGGGUAUUUUUAAGCUUUUUCUGUUUUAAAUAUGGUGGCAUAUUUAGGUUCCGCACUCCCUGUGAUGGUUGAGUUGGAGAGGGAAACUAACCCACCUAGAUUGCAAUGAAAGAGCUCCGGGAGAGGAAGAUACCAUUCAUAAUUCGCCGCUACUUGCAUGAUGAUAGGGGAGUUGAUGAAUUGAUCGUUGAGGAUUCAUGGAAGAGACAAGUUGGAGGAACUUGAUAGCUCAAGUGCUGCUUAGUGUGCUAUUGGUUGUUUUUAGUUGUCGCACUCUGCUGAAUUGUUGCUCACAUAAUAUUAGUGCUAUGAAUGUAUUGAGCUAAAACUCAAGUUCUUAUUCGUAAAAGCUGUUUUUACAGUACAAGUUCUAGUGGGUAUGUAUGUGUCGUAACUCGUGUCAGCUACUUGAUGGAGCUAGGGCUUUGAGCUUGGCAUGCCUUCUGAGGCUUUGUAUGUGAUGGGGAUAAUUGCCAGUUGUGUCCUGAGACUCCUGAAGUUUGUUAAAUGGAAGUGUGUUGCUCAUUUUGCACGUCAUUGUUAAGAUUUUCUGAAUGCGCUAAAACUCGGGGUGCCUACAUGGUUUUACCCUACCACACUAUAUUAUCUUGUGAAGGUAAAAAGACGGCUUCCAAUAGACUAGGGAACCUAUACCAAACAUAAGGCAUCAUUUUUGCCCCCUUUUUUUAAUUUAGUUUUACAAUUGGUUGACACCUAAAUAUGUUUACUCUUCCAUUCUCUCAUCCAUGGGUUCUCAUGAUCCAUUUCUGAAAACAACAAUUACAUAAAAGGAGUAAUUUAACCACUACCUAUCGAGAAAAUACAUGUUUACUACUAUUUAUUUAAGACAUUGAUAUUUGCGCUAAAAACAAAUAUUUUGAGAAAAUACAUAGUUUUUCUUUUAGACAUUGAUAUUUACGCGAAAGACGAAACUUUUGAGAAAAUGCAUAUUAAUCUUUCUUUAAGACAUUGAUAUUUACUCGAAAAUCAAGCAUGAAAAUGCAUAUUACUAUUUCUUUAAGACAUUGAUAUUUAUGCGAAAAAUAAAUAUUUUGAGAAAAUACAUACUACCCUUUCUUUAAGAACAUAUUUUACUCGAAAAACAAACAUGAAAAAUGCAUACUACUGUUUAUUUAAGACAUUGAUAUUUAUGCGAAAAAACAAACAUAACAAUCAUAUAAGAUAGUGUGAUUUGCCUACUGUAGAACUCUGACAAUUAU